GGCUUAAGCAAAAGGUGAAAGAAAAUGAAAAGAAAGCUGUAAGAGAUCAGAAUGUGUAGCCUGCUCAGAGCUAUUCCUGGUAGAAAUUAGAUCCUGAAAGGCCCAGGUGAAAAUCAGAGAUAAUCCCUCUAUACGUGCUUCUAAUUGGGACAAGCUGAGAGCAAGAAAGCUGAAGGAGUCAGCUACGGCCGCUCCACGGGGUUUGUUCCCAGUGAGCACCCAAGGACGCAGUUAUGCAAAGCCUCUUCUAUAAACAGCCCUGCAUUUGCUCUGGCAGAAGUGGGGCUCUAUUUCAGUCCCCACCAUGCAGAGGCGUUACCCUUGUGCUUCCCAUCCCAGCACCCCAGGCCCGCUGCUCUGGCCGUGGCCCCACUGUCGGCUCCUGCCCAUGCCCGCGCCGUCGCCCCAGGCCCAGGCCCGUGCCCAGCCCCUUGGCAGCCAUUUCCUGGCGGGGGGGGCUGGGGGUGCCGCCUGAAGCUAUUCUGGUAGCUGUGAGUCCCGCCGGUGUCAUGUGAACCAAAGGGCCCAGAAAUGCAUGUCAAAUUGGGCCAGUGACUAACCGUGAUAUUUUGGUUGUCUCAGCGCCUCCCAGGCAAAGAUUUAUUGUCCGAGAAAACCUUCACGUAAUAAUCCCUGGGUGCUGACCUGAUCUUCAGAUGAGUGAGUGAGAAAAGACAAUGAAAAGGGGGCUGCUGUGCUGGGCACAGUGAGGUCUAAACUUAUCCGAGGCUGAAACACAAACAAGGGAGGAGAAACACGUCUGCUUCUGCCCAGAGCCAUGCGCUGGCAGCCAGAGAGGAGCUAUUAUUUGAGCUGCCUGAGGAGCAAGGAGGGUCGAGGGCGACGGCUGAGCAGACAGAAAGUGCCACUGGUUGGGAUUGUCAUCUAGCUCCCUCAUCUGUCACCUGAUGGCCAGCCAAGCAAGCACUCAGCAAUGGACCAUUCAUCCCUGCACAAGCAACAGAAGCGAGAAAAGAGUGCGUGUGCGCUAAGGAGGCUAGAAGUGCAUCGACCUCGGACGAGCCGUUAACAGAGUCCCGCGGGGUGCUGCUGUGACAGAUGUCCCAGAAGAUAUCGAGCUACCCUGAUGCUUCAUGUCUGUUCCCAACAAGCACUACAGAUCAUGGCCAGUGGAAAGUAGCUGUUUCCUAUCCUAUUAUCCAGGUUCUGGGCUGUCCUGUGAUCUGUCUGCCUGGACACUACACAAUGACAGCUGGACUCUGCACUCCAGGAUUAACUGUGUGCUUCUAAAAUCCGGAUGGGGGCUGGCUGGAAACUUUACUAUGUCCUGACACAUACACAUGUCAGUGGGGGACAAUACUGUGCAAGUGUUAAGUGGGAAGAAAACAUAGAAGAAAAAUCCACUUGCAACUAGGAAUUACUAGUAGGACAAAGCUGGUGACCAGCCAAUGGGGAAGUGUCUGGUGAUCAUGGCAGAUCAUGCAGCACUCUGGCAGCUUACUAGGCCUUAAUAGAUAAGGCUGAUUAAAGAGGUGUGAAACAGAGGACCUUGUGAAAUACGUGGGAUGUUGGAAGACCGUUCUUUUUUUCUUUUAUUAAUAGUUGAAAGGAAAAAACAACUUCUACAUCACACGAACGGGACUGUUGAAAAGCCACAGAAAUAUCCCAUACUUACUUUUAUCUUCCUGGUUUUC